rnacentral:RNase_P_RNA from 1 species
GUGGGAUAAACAGUCGCGGAUGCAGUGCCGAAAGGCCGCACCCGAGGAAAGUCCGGGCUCCUCAGGGCAGGAUAACGGCUAACGGCCGCCGGGGGUGACCCCAGGGAAAGUGCAACAGAAAUAAACCGCCUGCAUUAUAUGCAGGUAAGGAUGGAAAGGCGAGGUAAGAGCUCACCGGCAUACAGGAGACUGUGUGGCCAUGUAAACCCUAUCCGGAGCAACACCGCAGCGAAGUGUAUUCAUCGGCCCGAUGGCUUCAGCAGGUGGCAUUGAGCAGUACCGGCAACGGGCUGCCAAGAUAGAUGGCUGUUCACGACAGAACCCGGCUUAUCGUCUCACUCAU